ACAUCCUUGAUUCUGUUCUGUACGUCCUCCUCCAACAGCGCAUCACUGCACAAUGUCAUGCUUCAAUUUAAGGACUCUGAGUUUCCAGACUAUGUAAAAAUAAGUCUCCAGGCUUCUUUCCCUGAUCUCUUUCUACAAAGAGACCACAGUAGGGCAGCACAGCACCACCAGCCCCCGCCCUAAUCAACAGAGGCUGCCCCCUACCAGCUUACAGCUUUUCAAGUACAGACAACUGGUGAUCUGCGGUAUUCCCUGUGAAAUUCAUCCAUGUUCCUACAAAUGGGAGUUUAUCUUUAUCCACAGGUCAUGAUAUAUUUCAAAUUAACUUGUCUAUAUGGUGUGAGGUGAAGGGCCAAGAUUUUCCUCCCCACAUGGAUAUUCAAUUAAGACAGAAGCAUUUACUGGUAAGACCCACUUUUCCCCACUGAAUUGCUUGGUGCCUCUUCAUAAAUCAAGUGACUCCACAGAAUUCAAUCUUUAAUAAUAAGUUCCAGUUCUAAAAAGAACUUUAGAAAUUUUAGUUAUUUGCUAUCAGAAAAUUAUAAACAAGUAUUUUAGUAUGAUAUAUUCCAGAAUCUGUUAAAAAUAUUUUUUUAACAAAUACCGAACUCUAAAUGAAUGCAAGACACUGUGCUACAUAAUAUAAAAGGCCUUUUGUAUAUUAUGUUAAGUCUUUCCUCAUUAUCUAACAAGAAAAUCAAUCACAUUCAAAAAUACAUCGAGUACUAGAAGCCAUGGUGGUACGAGUUGUUUUGUAUCCUCAAGGGUGCUUUUUGUGCAGAAAAUACUUCUUC